rnacentral:snoRNA from 1 species
CAAAAUGAUGAUCAACAAAAUUAUUAACUUUCGUUCUACCGAUUGCGAUCAAACGAUCUUGUGGAGAACGUUUUUUUUACUGAUU